GACGAACGCUGGCGGCGUGCCUAAUACAUGCAAGUAGAACGCACAGUUUAUACCGUAGCUUGCUACACCAUAAACUGUGAGUUGCGAACGGGUGAGUAACGCGUAGGUAACCUGCCUGGUAGCGGGGGAUAACUAUUGGAAACGAUAGCUAAUACCGCAUAAUAUUGAUUAUUGCAUGAUAAUUGAUUGAAAGAUGCUAUUGCAUCACUACCAGAUGGACCUGCGUUGUAUUAGCUAGUAGGUGAGGUAACGGCUCACCUAGGCGACGAUACAUAGCCGACCUGAGAGGGUGAUCGGCCACACUGGGACUGAGACACGGCCCAGACUCCUACGGGAGGCAGCAGUAGGGAAUCUUCGGCAAUGGACGAAAGUCUGACCGAGCAACGCCGCGUGAGUGAAGAAGGUUUUCGGAUCGUAAAGCUCUGUUGUUAGAGAAGAACGGGUGUGAGAGUGGAAAGUUCACACUGUGACGGUAUCUUACCAGAAAGGGACGGCUAACUACGUG
rnacentral:rRNA from 1 species